AUGUUAGCGUGGUGUGCACAUAUCGUCAGUUCGACGCCCAGCUCGAGCAGUGUAGCCAGUCUCUGUGUUGUAGAGUGCGAGUACCGCAGCGAUGAAGUUCAUUGUGUGUGUCUUCUUAUUCCUGGCGAUCUUGGAGGGAAUCCAAAGUGCACCAACAUUUUGCCUAUUUUGGCCCUGUUAUCAACAAACAAAUAUUUAUCCAAUUUAUUUACAAAAUACGCAAAAUACCGCAAAUUAUUACUCGAAUCAACAUCUUUACAAUUACUUAAAUAAUUUCUAUAAUAAUGGUCACCAUAACGGCAUGACAGUUGGCACCUUUCCCAGUGGAUAAUUAUUGUUCUAUUAAAUGUAUGCUCAUCACUAGUCCCAGUAAGCAUGAAUAGUAAACAUUAUACCUGAACCUAGAACCAAACCGCGGCAUUACUACUUUAGCAGAAAUUAAUCGUGAUGGGCAGCUACCUGCGGACAGUGAUUCGUUCAACAUUCUUGCUGCUGGACUAGGUGCCCGCAGUUCCAAUAUGAACAUGAAUGUGACAGUGUCGACUGUCGGUCUCCUACUACAGUAAUAAAGUGUAGUCUAGUAUUCUAA